UACGUAGGGUCCGAGCGUUGUCCGGAGUUACUGGGCGUAAAGCGCGCGCAGGCGGCGGUGCUGGCCCGGCGUGAAAGCCCCCGGCUCAACCGGGGAGGGUCGUCGGGGACCGCACCGCUUGAGGGCGGUAGGGGCUGGUGGAAUGCCUGGUGUAGUGGUGAAAUGCGUAGAGAUCAGGCGGAACACCCGUGGCGAAGGCGGCCAGCUGGGCCGUCCCUGACGCUGAGGCGCGAAAGCCAGGGGAGCGAACGGG
rnacentral:rRNA from 1 species